GAUGAACGCUGGCGGCGUGCCUAAUACAUGCAAGUCGAGCGAACAGACGAGGAGCUUGCUCCUCUGACGUUAGCGGCGGACGGGUGAGUAACACGUGGAUAACCUACCUAUAAGACUGGGAUAACUUCGGGAAACCGGAGCUAAUACCGGAUAAUAUAUUGAACCGCAUGGUUCAAUAGUGAAAGACGGUUUUGCUGUCAGUGAUAGAUGGAUCCGCGCUGCAUUAGCUAGUUGGUAGGGUAACGGCUUACCAAGGCAACGACGCGUAGCCGACAUGAGAGGGUGACCGGGCAAAUGGGGACUGAGAGAGGGCCCAGACUGCUACGGGAGGCAGGAGUGGGGAAUAUUGCACAAUGGGCGGAAGCCAGAUACAGCAACGCCGCGUGCGGGAUGACGGCCUUCGGGUUGUAAACCGAUUUCGCCUGUGACGAAGCGUGAGUGACGGUAAUGGGUAAAGAAGCACCGGCUAACUACGUG
rnacentral:rRNA from 1 species